rnacentral:tRNA from 1 species
UAAAAAAUUAGUUAAUUUAUAAUAUUAAUUUGUCAAGUUAAAGUAAUUAAUUUAUUAAUAUUUUUUAU